rnacentral:rRNA from 1 species
CCUACGGGACGCACCAGUGGGGAAUAUUGCACAAUGGGCGCAAGCCUGAUGCAGCCAUGCCGCGUGUAUGAAGAAGGCCUUAGGGUUGUAAAGUACUUUCAGUUGGGAGGAAGGCGUUGAUGCUAAUAUCAUCAACGAUUGACGUUACCAACAGAAGAAGCACCGGCUAACUCCGUGCCAGCAGCCGCGGUAAUACGGAGGGUGCAAGCGUUAAUCGGAAUUACUGGGCGUAAAGCGCACGCAGGCGGUUGAUUAAGUUAGAUGUGAAAUCCCCGGGCUUAACCUGGGAAUGGCACCUAAGACUGGUCAGCUAGAGUCUUGUAGAGGGGGGUAGAAUUCCAUGUGUAGCGGUGAAAUGCGUAGAGAUGUGGAGGAAUACCGGUGGCGAAGGCGGCCCCCUGGGCAAAGACUGAUGCUCAGGUGCGAAAGCGUGGGGAGCAAACAGGAUUAGAUGCCCCAGUAGUC